AAUACCUAAAACACUUUUCAUCGGUUUCUUCGAUUCUCUUUUUUGUGAAGUUUGUGUUUAUUCUCCUCUUAUUCUUUAAAAAAACAAAAAAAGCAAAAAAAAAAAGAGUAAAAAGCGCAAAAACAAAAGCAAAAAAGCAAAAAAGCGCAAAAAAAAAGUUGCCUACCUUUCAUACGUAGGUUUCUUCUUUUCCUAUUAUUGUUAUUAUUUUUAUUUUAUUUUUUCCCAAAAUUGAUUUUUUUUCCCCUUCUUUCU
rnacentral:lncRNA from 1 species